GGAAGUGUGGCCGAGCGGUUGAAGGCACCGGUCUUGAAAACCGGCGACCCGAAAGGGUUCCAGAGUUCGAAUCUCUGCUCUUCCGCCA
rnacentral:tRNA from 2 species